GAUGAAGAACGUAGCGAAAUGCGAUAAGUAAUGCGAAUUGCAGAAUUUCCGUGAGUCAUCGAAUCUUUGAACGCACAUUGCGCCCACUGGUAUUCCGGUGGGCAUGCCUGUUCGAGCGUCAUUAUCCUCCCUCAAACCCCGGGUUUGGUGUUGGACCCAAGUUGUGUGAACAACUGGUCUUAAAGACAAUGACGGCGUCCGUGGGACCCUCGGUGCAACGAGCUUUUAGGAGCACGCAUCGAGUUGCAAGGACCUUCCGGGCCGGUCUCCUUUACUAUUUUACAAGGUUGACCUCGGAUCAGGUAGGAAUACCCGCUGAACUUAAGCAUAUCAAAGCGGAGGA
rnacentral:misc_RNA from 1 species